rnacentral:rRNA from 1 species
GUAGCAAUACUCGGAUGGUUCAGUGGCGCACGGGUGAGUAACACGUGAAUCACAUGCCCUCCAGUGGGGAAUAGCCCGGGGAAACCCGGAUUAAUACCCCAUGGUCCCGCAAGGGUAAAGGUGGCCGCAAGGCUGCCGCUGGAGGAUUGGUUCGCGCCCUAUCAGCUUGUUGGCGGGGUAACGGCCCACCAAGGCUACGACGGGUACCUGGUCUGAGAGGACGAUCAGGCACACUGGAACUGAGACACGGUCCAGACACCUACGGGUGGCAGCAGUCGAGAAUAAUUCACAAUGGGGGCAACCCUGAUGGUGCAACGCCGCGUGGAGGAUGAAGGUCUUCGGAUUGUAAACUCCUGUCAUCCGGGAGCAAGACCUGGCGGUUAACAGCCGACAGGGUUGAUAGUACCGGAAGAGGAAGGGACGGCUAACUUCGUGCCAGCAGCCGCGGUAAUACGAAGGUCCCGAGCGUUGUUCGGAAUCACUGGGCGUAAAGGGAGCGUAGGCGGCGCGGCAAGUCAGAUGUGAAAUCCCGGGGCUCAACCCCGGAACUGCAUCCGAUACUGCCGUGCUUGAGGGUUGGAGAGGCAGCUGGAAUUCUCGGUGUAGCAGUGAAAUGCGUGGAGAUCGAGAGGAACACUCGUGGCGAAAGCGAGCUGCUGGACAACAUCUGACGCUGAGGCUCGAAGGCCAGGGUAGCGAAAGGGAUUAGAUACCCCUGUA